CAAGAUGGAGUAACUGUAGGGAAAGAAGAAGAAGAAGAAGAAGAAGAAGUGUCCAUGUGGACGCUUGGCAGUGCAAAUGAUAGACAAGGAAAAACGAAGUGACAGAGGAAAGAAAGAUAAGGAGAAAGAUAAAGACAAAGAGACACAACAUUGCAUUAGACACUAAGAGCCAUUCCUUGCUCGCUAAAGGCUAAUGCAAUUGCCACACAAUAAGAGCGUCUCAGCGGAGGCUGUAAAAAGAACUAGAGAGGGGAAUGUAAGAGGAGAGGCAGGGAAGGAGGGAGGAGGGCGCGUUAGGUUAGGGAGGAGGGUAAGGGAGGACCGGCAGCUCUGCCUUCAGACUCUCAUAUGAAUCUCCUGGGACAAUGGGUGAAAGUCUCUCUGAGUCUGUACUGUAACUCUGGGCUGAGUGGCUCACUUGCUGUGUCUUCAGGGUGAUUGAUCAGGCUUGCAGGGAGGAGAGACGGAGGGAAGAGAAGGAGAGACGAGUCCGGUAGCAGGCAGGCAGGCAGCUGGCUGGGUGUGUUAACUCCACAUCUGACCUCUAUGGGAGCAGAGUUGCCUCCUCUCCUCUCCAAGCAGACUGUGGGAACUGGGGGGACAGAGCUUUAUCCUCCCUCCCUCCACACCACCACCACCUCCCCACCUCUCUCCGCUUCUUGCUGGGCCAUAGAGCUCAGAGAACUGGCACUGGACAGACCGGGACAUGACAGGACAAGACAGCUCUGGCAGUCGAGCCUUCUGAGGAUUUCCACUGCAGAAGGAGUUCUGGAGCCGCCUCCGUCACUCAGACAGCCGGGCGGGUUUCUUGUCAGUUAUUAGCCAGAUUUUUAGUUUGUCAGCCAGUAAAUCAGUCACCGGGGUCUCUUCCACUCUGUGAAUAUCCUCAUCUGAACUCUGAUGUGACUCAGACGCCGUCCUGGACCACCAGAGGACCGCCAGAGGGUACGAUCACAGGUGUUCCACAGCUGCUGCGGAAAAGAAGCAUCUGGAGUCCAAAAACAAUGUAAUAUUGCGGAGGGCGGUAAAGGGCAGAGAGGUGGAGACCGGGCCGCUGGUCUCGCUGUUUAGGGGAGGGUUCCUGGCACCGUGAUUUGAUGCACAAAGAGAAACAAAAAUCACAUUGCCAGGGAUUUCCACUCCUUCACAGCUCAGCAGGACGUCUGUCCCGACCUCACAUUUCCACUCAGGGACUCAUUUUGAGGCCGGAUUCUGGAGCGCUGAAGGAAUUAAACCGAAAUGCUAUCAACCUAUCUCUGCAGACCUCUAAAAGGUUAAGUUGUGUCUGUGUGUAUUUAAGGUUGCAGCUGUUUGAAAUUUAAACUAUCCUCACCACUCGCUGCUCUAAUGUGCCAGGAAAUGGAUGUAAAUGCAAGCCAGAGCCACACAGGAGAAGGUUUAUAUUUCAGAUGUUGGAUUUUAGGGUUUAUAAACAAGGAAUUUAUUUGGAGAGCUAAGAUAAAAGUGGAGAUGCCUCCACUGCAGCCUCUGAACACUCCGCAGAAUCUGAAACCACUGACUUCACUGCCGACGUCUCACGUAAAGGUCUGCAUAAAUCUCAGCCAGCCACCCACUUGCUAAAGGCACAGAGCUUAGCUAAUUGGUGAGCAUUGAUCCCUGCAAUGUGUUGUUCACAGUGGCUAAGUUCAGUGCCCGAGGUGAAAUAGUUGAUUCAACGUGGAGGAUUUGUUCCGGUGGAUGGACUGAACUUGAUGAUCUCGGAUAAGCUGAAAGAAGGAGGGAUCAAGGGAAGGAAGGAAAAGUGAGAGGUCAGGAGGAGAUUAAAUGACGUGUACGGAGAAGAAGGUCACGAUUAUGGCCUGAAGUGUGAUUUCUGAACUCGUACUGCUCUCCUUGUGCAUGAAAGAAACUUUUGUCAUUUAGAUCAGUAUAUUCUCAUAAAUUGACCCAAAAAUCUGACCAUGUGACCCAUGUACAAUAAUUUAAAAUACUAUAUGAACUUUAUGCAAUUGGAAAAAAAAUUUAAGCUAGCUCAUGACGUCUCUAAUUUUAUCCCUGCAUUAACAGCAUUCAAGACUGUGCAAAAAAUUCAAAAAUCUUAAAUAUAUAUCAUCAUAAAGGGAAUAGAGUGUCAUUAUUGAUUGAAAGUUUAAACGUUUGUUGUGACUGGAUAAGUUUCUGCUUCUUCCUGCUCAUUUUCAGACAUAUUUUGUUUUUGAUUUUACAAAUUGUUCAUUUA